AUGUCUGACAAGCUGACACAUUCCCCUUCUCUUGCAGCCAGCACCACGGCCCCAUCUGUCUUUCCUUUGGCCCCCGGCUGUGGGGACACUUCUGGCUCCACAGUAACCAUGGGCUGCCUGGUCAAGGGCUACUUCCCUGAGCCAGUGACCGUGACCUGGAACUCCGGAGCCCUGUCCAGCGGAGUACACACCUUCCCAGCUGUCCUGCAGUCCGGACUCUACACCCUCAGCAGCUCAGCAACUGUGUCCUCUAGCACCUGGCCCAGCCAGACCUACAUAUGCAAUGUAAACCACCCGGCAAGCAAAACCAAGGUGGACAAGAAAAUUGAGCCCAGAAGCAUCAUCACACACAAGUGUCCCAAGUGUCCAGCUCCUGAUCUCCAGGGGGGACCAUCCGCCUUCAUCUUCCCCCCGAAGCCCAAGGACGCACUCUUGAUCUCCCUGACCCCCAAGAUCACCUGUGUGGUGGUGGACGUGAGCCAGGAUGACCCCGAGGUCCAGUUCAGCUGGUUUAUGAAUAAUGUGGAGCUGCACACAGCACAGACACAGCUCCGGGAGGAGCAGGAGAAUAGCACGUUCCGUGUGGUCAGCGUCCUCCCCAUCAGGCACCAGGACUGGCUGAAGGGCAACACGUUCAAGUGCAAGGUCAACAGCAGAGCCCUCCCAGCUCCCAUUGAAAGAACCAUCUCUAAACCCAAAGGGCAAGCCCGAAUGCCACAGGUGUACACCUUUCCUCCACCCCGGGAACAACUGGCCAAGAAUGAGGUCAGUUUGACCUGCAUGAUCAUGGGCUUCUUCCCUCAGGACAUCGAUGUGGAGUGGCAGAGCAACGGACAGCCAGUGCAGAACUUCAGGAACACCAAGCCCGUCUUGGAUGUCGAUGGUUCUUACUUCCUCUACAGCAAGCUCACUGUGAACAAGAGAAGUUGGGAAGAGGGUGAAAUGUACACCUGUUCUGUGGUGCACGAGGCUCUGCACAACCACCACAUGCAGAAGACCAUCUCCCGGUCUCCGGGUAAAUGAGCCUAGCACCUAGCAAGCCCUCAGGCCCUAAGGGACACUGGCACCCACCCCCACCCAUUCCCUGUAUAAAUAAAGCACCCAGGACUGCCCUGGGACCCUGUGAAA